rnacentral:lncRNA from 1 species
AUCAAUUGCAAAACAAGUCUAUCACAACAUUAUACAUCCAUGUUUAAUACUGAACUCAUACAAAAAAUGAAAAAUGAAGAGGGAAGCACUGGUCUAAAUCAAGAAAACAGGAAUGUAAAAUGUUGGUUAGAAAUUUGGUCAUCCAAAUUGUGUACAAUAAAUUCCAAAGCUUUCCAUAAAUGUGGGAUUAAACAAGAAAUUCAUAUUCUUUCAUUAUAGUUAACAUUC